rnacentral:lncRNA from 1 species
GAAUGCUGACUAUUUGACAAACCAGAGAAAUGCACCUUUGACUGCAAGACUGUUAAAUUCCUGGCCCAGCUAUCUUCCCGGAAGGACUUCAAAUGGACCUUUACAAGUUAUCUACAAUGAUAGACUAAGAACAACCUACCAAGGAAAUGUUAAUGAAAACUAGUACUGAGACUGCUGAAGUUUUCAUUGGAAACAACAGAAUUCUUUGAUUUACCAUCUUCCCCUGUAAUGGAACAGAUAUUUUUGGUGAUAGUUGACCACCAUUUAGAGAUGGACAUAGGGCUGAAUUGUAACCACAGGUGCUGCGACAAAGAACACUUUAAAGAUGCAUAAAAGUCUGUUUAAAGUGAAGAGAAAGAACUGGAUAAAAUAAUGAGGUGGCUAUCCAGUUUAUGGAAUUGAGGCAGGAAUUCAACAAAGGUAACCAGAAAACAUGAAACUGUAAACUUUAAAAAUUUUCUUUAAAAGAUAAUGUAUAUAGGUUGAGUUUCUUUUGUCACUUUUGUGAAGGUGAAACUUCCUAUUUUACCAUCUUGAUGUAACUAAACUCCCUAGGUACCUAAGGUCAGAAGCUCUCUGUCUCGAUGCUGUGUGGCAGAGGGGUCAGUCUCAAGUUCUGUCCUGUUUCUUGCCACUGUUCAUGCUUGACCCUGCGGUGGCUUUAAAUUGCCUCUGCUUCUUAUUCUCCCUAUAAAAGAACUAACUCCUAACUUUGAUACUUUGAUUCCAUUACUCCAAUAAAUUUCCCUGAAUUUGUUUUGCUUGGUUAUAC